rnacentral:rRNA from 1 species
GCAAGUCGAGCGGAGAUGAGGUGCUUGCACCUUAUCUUAGCGGCGGACGGGUGAGUAAUGCUUAGGAAUCUGCCUAUUAGUGGGGGACAACAUUCCGAAAGGAAUGCUAAUACCGCAUACGUCCUACGGGAGAAAGCAGGGGAUCUUCGGACCUUGCGCUAAUAGAUGAGCCUAAGUCGGAUUAGCUAGUUGGUGGGGUAAAGGCCUACCAAGGCGACGAUCUGUAGCGGGUCUGAGAGGAUGAUCCGCCACACUGGGACUGAGACACGGCCCAGACUCCUACGGGAGGCAGCAGUGGGGAAUAUUGGACAAUGGGGGGAACCCUGAUCCAGCCAUGCCGCGUGUGUGAAGAAGGCCUUAUGGUUGUAAAGCACUUUAAGCGAGGAGGAGGCUACUGAGACUAAUACUCUUGGAUAGUGGACGUUACUCGCAGAAUAAGCACCGGCUAACUCUGUGCCAGCCGCCGCGGUAA